CUGAGUGUAGCUCAGUAGUAGAGCACUUGUCUAGCAUGGACAAGGCCCUGGGUUCAAUCCCCAGCACUCAAA
rnacentral:tRNA from 1 species